rnacentral:rRNA from 1 species
UACGAAGGGGGCGAGCGUUGUUCGGAUUUACUGGGCGUAAAGGGCGCGCAGGCGGCUAUCCAAGUCAGGCGUGAAAGCCCCGGGCUUAACCUGGGAGGUGCGUCUGGGACUGGGUGGCUAGAGUUCGGGAGAGGAGAGUGGAAUUCCCAGUGUAGAAGUGAAAUUCGUAGAUAUUGGGAAGAACACCGGUGGCGAAGGCGGCUCUCUGGACCGAGACUGACGCUGAGGCGCGAAAGCGUGGGGAGCAAACAGG